rnacentral:rRNA from 1 species
UCGAGGAUCUUCGGCAAUGGGCGCAAGCCUGACCGAGCGACGCCGCGUGGGCGAUGAAGGCCUUCGGGUUGUAAAGCCCUGUCGAGGGGGAGAAAGGCGCGCAAGCGCGUGAUCGACCCCUGGAGGAAGCACGGGCUAAGUUCGUGCCAGCAGCCGCGGUAAGACGAACCGUGCGAACGUUGUUCGGAAUCACUGGGCUUAAAGGGCGCGUAGGCGGGCUUGCCGGUCCGGGGUGAAAGCCCCCAGCUCAACUGGGGAAGCGCCUUGGAUACCGCAAGCCUGGAGGGAGGUAGGGGCGUGCGGAACUUCCGGUGGAGCGGUGAAAUGCGUAGAUAUCGGAAGGAACACCGGUGGCGAAAGCGGCGCGCUGGACCUCUUCUGACGCUGAGGCGCGAAAGCCAGGGGAGCAAACGGGAUUAGAUACCCCUGUAGUCC